AGAGUUUGAUCCUGGCUCAGCCUGAACGCUGGCGGCGUGGCUAAGACAUGCAAGUCGCACGGUGUAGCAAUACACAGUGGCGAACGGGUGAGUAAUGAAUCGCUAACGUACCCCGGACACUGGGAUAGCCAUCCGAAAGGGUGGGUAAUACCAGAUGAUAUAACCUUGUUGCAUGACAGGGUUCUCAAAGGUCCGCCGGUCUGGGAGCGGGCGAUUUUGUAUCAGCUAGUUGGUGAGGUAACGGCUCACCAAGGCGACGACGCAUAGCCGGACCGAGAGGUUGGCCGGCCACAUUGGGACUGAGACACUGCCCAGACUCCUACGGGGGGCUGCAGUAACGAAUCUUCCGCAAUGUACGAAAGUAUGACGGAGCGACGCCGCGUGCAGGACGAAGCCCUUCGGGGUGUAAACUGCUGUCAGGGGUUAGAAAGUUCUGAUCAACCCCAGAGGAAGGCACGGCUAACUCUGUGCCAGCAGCCGCGGUAAGACAGAGGUGCCAAGCGUUAGGCGGAAUCACUGGGCUUAAAGCGUGUGUAGGCGGAAUCGUAAGUACCUUGUGAAAUCCCACGGCUCAACCGUGGAACUGCUUGGUAUACUGCGAUUCUUGGGCCAAUUAGGGGCAGCCGGAACAAAUGGUGGAGCGGUGAAGUGCGUAGAUAUCAUUUGGAACGCCAAGGGCGAAAGCAGGCUGCUGGGAUUGUGCCGACGCUGAGACACGAAAGCCAGGGGAGCAAACGGGAUUAGAUACCCUAGUAGUCC
rnacentral:rRNA from 1 species